GUUUAAAUGUCAUCUAUAGGUGGGUGUAGUCUGAGAUAAUAAUAUAGAAAUAUUUAUAUUAUUAUCUCAGACUACACCCACCUAUAGAUGACAUUUAAACA
rnacentral:pre_miRNA from 1 species